CCUACGGGUCGCACCAGUGGGGAUUAUUGCACAAUGGGCGCAAGCCUGAUGCAGCCAUGCCUCGUGUAUGAAGAAGGCCUUCGGGUUGUAAAGUACUUUCAGCGGGGAGGAAGGCGGUGAGAUUAAUAACCUCAUCGAUUGACGUUACCCGCAGAAGAAUCACCGGCUAACUCCGUGCCAGCAGCCGCGGUAAUACGGAGGGUGCAAGCGUUAAUCGGAAUUACUGGGCGUAAAGCGCACGCAGGCGGUCUGUCAAGUCGGAUGUGAAAUCCCCGGGCUCAACCUGGGAACUGCAUUCGAAACUGGCAGGCUAGAGUCUUGUAGAGGGGGGUAGAAUUCCAGGUGUAGCGGUGAAAUGCGUAGAGAUCUGGAGGAAUACCGGUGGCGAAGGCGGCCCCCUGGACAAAGACUGACGCUCAGGUGCGAAAGCGUGGGGAGCAAACAGGAUUAGAUACCCGUGUAGUC
rnacentral:rRNA from 1 species